rnacentral:rRNA from 1 species
CACGUAGGCGGACUGGAAAGUUGGAGUUGAAAUCCCAGGGCUCAACCUUGGAACUGCCUUCAAAACUAUCAGUCUGGAGUUCGAGAGAGGUGAGUGGAAUUCCGAGUGUAGAGGUGAAAUUCGUAGAUAUUCGGAGGAACACCAGUGGCGAAGGCGGCUCACUGGCUCGAUACUGACGCUGAGGUGCGAAAGUGUGGGGAGCAAACA